rnacentral:misc_RNA from 1 species
GUGCUCCGUGGUCCUAUUCGUGGUGCUCUGCAACCUGCUGGGCCUCAAUCUGGGCAUCUGGGGCCUGUCUGCCAGGGACGACCCCAGCCACCCAGAAGCCAAGGGCGAGGCUGGAGCCCGCUUCCUCAUGGCAGGUGUGGGCCUCAGCUUCCUCUUUGCUGCACCCCUCAUCCUCCUGGUGUUCGCCACCUUCCUGGUGGGUGGCAACGUGCAGACGCUGGUGUGCCAGAGCUGGGAGAACGGCGAGCUCUUUGAGUUUGCAGACACCCCAGGGAACCUGCCCCCGUCCAUGAACCUGUCGCAACUUCUUGGCCUGAGGAAGAACAUCAGCAUCCACCAAGCCUAUCAGCAGUGCAAGGAAGGGGCAGCGCUCUGGACAGUCCUGCAGCUCAACGACUCCUACGACCUGGAGGAGCACCUGGAUAUCAACCAGAUCCAGAGGCCCGUGGUGAAGACCAGCAUGGAGCAGCUGGCCCAGGAGCUGCAAGGACUGGCCCAGGCCCAAGACAAUUCUGUGCUGGGGCAGCGGCUGCAGGAGGAGGCCCAAGGACUCAGAAACCUUCACC